rnacentral:rRNA from 1 species
ACUGCUCAGUAACACGUAGUCAACCUGCCCUGGAGACAUGGACAACCCCGGGAAACUGGGAUUAAUCCGCGAUAGGUCACCUCAUCUGGAAGGAGAGAUGGCUUAAAGGGGUACGCGGGCUUCUUCUGCGUAUUCGCUCCAGGAUGGGACUGCGUCCGAUCAGGCUGUUGGCGGGGUAAUGGCCCACCAAACCUGUAACCGGUACGGGCCUUGAGAGAGGUGGCCCGGAGAUGGACACUGAGAGAAGGGUCCAGGUCCUACGGGGCGCAGCAGGCGCGAAACCUUCGCAAUGCGCGAAAGCGUGACGAGGUUAAUCCGAGUGGCCUCCGCUGAGGAGGUCUUUUGUCAGCUGUAAAUAGGCGGGCGAAUAAGGGGAGGGCAAGCCUGGUGUCAGCCGCCGCGGUAAUACCAGCUCCUCGAGUGGUCGGGACGAUUAUUGGGCCUAAAGCACCCGUAGCCGGUUCCGUAAGUCCUCUGUUAAAUCCAGUCGCUCAACGACUGGCGUGCAGAGGAUACUGCGGGACUAGGAGGCGGGAGAGGCGGACGGUACCCCGCGUGUAGGGGUAAAAUCCUUUGAUCCGCGGAAGACCACCAGUGGCGAAGGCGGUCCGCCAGAACGCGCUCGACGGUGAGGGGUGAAAGCUGGGGGAGCGAACCGGAUUAGAUACCCGGGUAGUCCCAGCCGUAAACGAUGCGAGCUAGAUGAUUCGAUCGCAGUUCGCGAUCGAAGUGUCGCAGGGAAGCCGUUAAGCUCGCCGCCUGGGGAGUACGGUCGCAAGGCUGAAUUGCGAUCAGAAGCAUUCUGGUCGCACAGUUCACUUAAAGGAAUUGGCGGGGGAGCAC